rnacentral:rRNA from 1 species
GUCGAGCGGACAGAAGGGAGCUUGCUCCCGGAUGUUAGCGGCGGACGGGUGAGUAACACGUGGGUAACCUGCCUGUAAGACUGGGAUAACUCCGGGAAACCGGAGCUAAUACCGGAUAGUUCCUUGAACCGCAUGGUUCAAGGAUGAAAGACGGUUUCGGCUGUCACUUACAGAUGGACCCGCGGCGCAUUAGCUAGUUGGUGAGGUAACGGCUCACCAAGGCGACGAUGCGUAGCCGACCUGAGAGGGUGAUCGGCCACACUGGGACUGAGACACGGCCCAGACUCCUACGGGAGGCAGCAGUAGGGAAUCUUCCGCAAUGGACGAAAGUCUGACGGAGCAACGCCGCGUGAGUGAUGAAGGUUUUCGGAUCGUAAAGCUCUGUUGUUAGGGAAGAACAAGUGCAAGAGUAACUGCUUGCACCUUGACGGUACCUAACCAGAAAGCCACGGCUAACUACGUGCCAGCAGCCGCGGUAAUACGUAGGUGGCAAGCGUUGUCCGGAAUUAUUGGGCGUAAAGGGCUCGCAGGCGGUUUCUUAAGUCUGAUGUGAAAGCCCCCGGCUCAACCGGGGAGGGUCAUUGGAAACUGGGAAACUUGAGUGCAGAAGAGGAGAGUGGAAUUCCACGUGUAGCGGUGAAAUGCGUAGAGAUGUGGAGGAACACCAGUGGCGAAGGCGACUCUCUGGUCUGUAACUGACGCUGAGGAGCGAAAGCGUGGGGAGCGAACAGGAUUAGAUACCCUGGUAGUCCACGCCGUAAACGAUGAGUGCUAAGUGUUAGGGGGUUUCCGCCCCUUAGUGCUGCAGCUAACGCAUUAAGCACUCCGCCUGGGGAGUACGGUCGCAAGACUGAAACUCAAA